rnacentral:rRNA from 1 species
GACGUAGGUGGCAAGCGUUACUCGGAAUUACUAGGCGUAAAGCGCGCGUAGGCGGAAUGUUAAGUUUGUUGUGUAAUCUCCGGGCUCAACUCGGAAACUGCAACAAAAACUGGCGUUCUUGAGUGAGGCAGAGGAAGAUGGAAUUCCUGGUGUAGCAGUGAAAUGCGUAGAUAUCAGGAGGAACACCGGUGGCGAAGGCGGUUUUCUGGGCCUUUACUGACGCUAAAGUACGAAAGCUAGGGGAGCAAACGGG